GACGCACGCUGGCGGCGUGCCUAAUACAUGCAAGUAGGACGCAGUUGCGAACGGGUGCGUAACGCGUAGGUAACUACCUCUUCGAUGGGGAUAACUAUUGGAAACGAUAGCUAAUACCGCAUACUAGUAGAUGGACCUGCGUUUUAUUAGCUAGUAGGUAUGGUAAUGGCCUACCUAGGCAACGAUACAUAGCCGAACUGAGAGGGUGAUCGGACACAAUGGGACUGAGACACGGCCCAGACUCCUACGGGAGGCAGCAGUAGGGAAUCUUCGGCAAUGGGGGGAACCCUGACCGAGCAACGCCGCGUGAGUGAAGAAGGUUUGCGGAUCGUAAAGCUCUGUUGGUAAGGAAGCGGUACUUAACCAGAAAGGGACGGCUAACUACGUGCCAGCCGCCGCGGUAAUUC
rnacentral:rRNA from 1 species